AGCUGUGUGAUGCAGUGUGGGAACUUGCUGGCAGUGAGGAGUCACAAGUCAUUCAAGUAAAAAUUCAGUCUGAAUCACUGUGCAAUGUGGGUGACAAUUCAUAGAGACUAUAGCACAGUGGCUUGUGACAGCUAAACGGCUGACUGUAGAGGAGAAGGUGGUCUCCGUUCCACACUGCGCAGUGGCGGGAGGUCUUCUCAUGGCAAUUAACGGCUCUGUGCUCCAGUUCACAGCCCAUCUCUCGGCUCUAAUUAGAGUACACACAUGCAGGAACGCUGCAGUAUUUCCAGCCUCCAAGCUGUGUCCGCCAAGCAUCAUUUCACCUCGCUGCAGAGAGGAGUGACAGUUGGCUGCAGAAGAGCCUCGAGCAAGGCACACUCUGGCAAGAUUUUGUGCCUCUCCGUUGGACUGCUCCAUCUGAGCCAGAAAAUAUGUUAUACUAGCUGAAGGGGGGUGAGAAGAAAUGACCACGGGGCUUGAGAGAAAGUAAAAGACAGAUGAAACAUGUAGGAUGUAAUAUGAUAAAGGUUACCAGUACAACAAAUGUUUUUGAGUUUUCCUGCUUGUUGUGGAUAAAAUGUUAGGAAAACAGUCAAUUAUUGAAGAUCACUGUGAUGCAAUCAGUCUCACCGCUGCACAAGCUAAGUCAGCUUUGGUGUGACUGGACCAAUCCAGGAAGAGGUCAAUGUCGAAUACAGCGAAGUUGAAGAAAUCUCAAACUCAGUCCUUUAGAGAACGACUGUCGAGGUCAACAAAGAGCAGAAAAAUCAGUGAGGCUUGUCAGGGAGCACUAUUCCUCUCUAAGUAGUUCUCCAGGCAUAUUUGCAAUUGUGUAAAUUAGAAGUGCUUAAAGAUACCUCCCCUGAUUUUGUGGUAUUA